rnacentral:rRNA from 1 species
GUGGGGAAUAUUGGACAAUGGGCGCAAGCCUGAUCCAGCAAUGCCGCGUGCAGGAAGAAGGCCUUCGGGUUGUAAACUGCUUUUGUACGGAACGAAACGGUCCUGGUUAAUACCUGGGGCUAAUGACGGUACCGUAAGAAUAAGCACCGGCUAACUACGUGCCAGCAGCCGCGGUAAUACGUAGGGUGCGAGCGUUAAUCGGAAUUACUGGGCGUAAAGCGUGCGCAGGCGGUGCUGUAAGACAGGCGUGAAAUCCCCGGGCUCAACCUGGGAAUUGCGCUUGUGACUGCAGUGCUGGAGUACGGCAGAGGGGGAUGGAAUUCCGCGUGUAGCAGUGAAAUGCGUAGAUAUGCGGAGGAACACCGAUGGCGAAGGCAGUCCCCUGGGCCUGUACUGACGCUCAUGCACGAAAGCGUGGGGAGCAAACAGGAUUAGAAACCCGGGUAGUCC